AGGAGCUGCCACCAGCUCGAAAGAAACACUGUACUCAAGCACAAUCUUGCAGUUCCGGGCGAUUCAGCGAAGCGUCACUGAGACCCUACCUCUGACUCUGUCCCGUACUCACCUUAGGCCAGCGCUGCCCUGGCUCGAAGGGCUGCCCGGAUCGUUUCGCCCCGUCUCCUGUACAGACCCUACAGCAUUCUGACCAGAGAUGCUGCGACGCUCCUCCAGAGGGGGCCCGCCUUCCUUUCUUCCCUUGGCUGCAACUUCCCGAUGAUUUGUGGCCUGGGCUGCGCCGGGGGUUGAGGAGCACGAAAGAGAGAGACAAGGACUAAGAAGGAGUAAAGAGGUGAGGGCUGGAAGAGAAAUUAGGGAAUCGGGAUAGAAAUCAUUAGAGCUUUCUGGACAAUACGGGGGAAAAAUUACAAACAAAAUAAACCUUUUCCGGGGGGUGGGCCAGAGAGCGCCUGCGCAAGGGAUUGUAAAUCAGAACAAGAGACCAGCUAUAUAGGAACAAACCGCCUUGCACUUCCCUGCUCCCAAAGUGUUAAGUCCACUUUCUCAUUCUCUGAGAGCCACUUACCCCGCUACACCCCACACGCCAAGAGCGGAACAGAACGAUCGUAUGUGCGAUUCUUCCGGUUGUGAAUUAGGGUGCUCUGAUCCUGACUGUAAGAAAAGUGCUUGAUGAAGAAAUCGUGGGCACGAUGGAAGUCGAAAAUGGAUUUGGUCACCUAUCGUGAGUCAAAGCCUCUCCACAUAUAUGGUUCCAUGGUGUAAUGGUGAGCACUCUGGACUCUGAAUCCAGCGAUCCGAGUUCAAAUCUCGGUGGGACCUAUCUCUUUAGUCCACACAGGAACUAUUUUCCUUCCGUUCAUAUCCCUGACUUAGCACAGGAAGGAAAGGGGAGCAGGCCCUGGCAUCACACCUGCCUUAGAUCAAUUGCCUGCCGCAUUUGCGUCCUAUCUCUCCGUUCAGAGACACCAAUCCACACCGUAGCUGCCUGAACACGACACCGCAAUAGGAUAUCCUGUCCUCUGCGACCAGCCUGGCCCGGGGCUCGCUGCCAUACCGCGACUCCGCGACCCUCAGGUCUGCCAUGUUUUCAGGUGACCUGGGGACGAAAGAUCUCCCACACCCGCGAGGCAGCGUACCACGUCCUGGCUUCCCGCACACCCGCCGCUCCCUCUCCUGUUCCUGCAUCUGUUGAAGGGAAUUUAAACCAGCUUAGCCCUUCUUGGGUUUGAGCAGUUUCAAUGCGUUUCAGUUCAUUAAACUUCUGAGAUUCUAUUGAAACCAGUAGAGGCCGCAGCAGUUUUCUAAAUUGAGAUCAAAAGCUGAGCUUAGAUCGCAGUGGCUCCUCCCCGGGCCACUAGCCUGAAGUCAGCAGCUGAAGCUUCAGCCCCAGAGCUCUGCCCCAGGAAAACUCCGUUGGAGAAGGCCGUGGGAAUGUAAGAGGAAAAUAAAUAGUCUUCACGUAUAGGCGCCUGGAGAAAUUUAAAUAAUUGUUUUCCUGUGGUUGGAAUUUUGGGUAGUUGCGAAAUACUGAAAAGUAUAACUUUUUUUUUAGAGAGUUCAGUCUGGGACCUGAAAAGAAAUGCCACAGAGAUGGUCGAGAGAGGUGAGGGAGAUUUGGGGGAAAAAAAAAAAGUCCCAAUGCUUUGGCCAAGGAGGCGGUCCCCUCCCCCAGGUAACCUGAGGAGCCAGAAUGGAAAGAUCUUCAGCCCCUCAGAUCUGGGUUGGUGUUUCUCAGGAAAGUAAACCUCUCUGGCUACUCAACAGCUUCCCUCUCUCGGUAGUGCUCAUUGGCUCCUCUGCUACCCGCGGAAGCCCAUCCUCCGUGACUCAGUGGGUACUGACUGCUCUUGUUCCGAAUGCUGGGGUAAACAUCCCAUUCCUCUAUGGACUCUGACCGGGGCCCACAGUCUGUGAAGAUCCGAAGUAACGAUGCAGGCCAGCUCCUGAGAUAGAAAGAGAAACGCCCAUAAGCUUCCUGAGGCCCCUUACUUGCCCCAUCUCUGCGGGAUACCUUAGGGCACUGGUAGAAAAAAUACAGACAAUAGUUGCCAUAGAUCUUGCAUAAUCCUCCCUGUUACAGAGUUGGGGACCAGCCUGCUCCAGAACAGACAUUUUGAGGGUGUUCUAGUUUGCUUUUCUGUUGCUGAUUUAAAACAUUCUGACCAAAAGCAGCUAGGGUAGGAAAGGGUUUAUUUUGUUUCAUAGAUCGUGGAGGGGAGUCAAGACGGGACCUUUAGGUGGGAACUUGAAGUAGAAAGUGUGGAGAGAGCUUACUUGCUGGCUUGCUCUCAGGCUCUGGCUCAGCUUUCUUAUUCAGCUCACGCAUACCUGCCUAAGGUAUGAACCAUCCAAUGUGGGCUGGGCCGUCCUACACCAAUUAACAUUAAAGAGAAUGAUCCACAGACAUGCCCACCAGACAAUUUGAUCUAGGCAACUCCCCACAUGGGGCUCUCUCUUCCUUGACACACUGUCAAGUUGACCACCCAAGAUUAGCCAUCGAAGAGGACACUUGAAAUAAACAUGCUGGAGUCUGGGAAAGCCCUUUUCACCCCCACGGUUUGCACUCAGUAAGUAUAAAUAAAGAACACAGUCACUCCACCAAUAUAACAUAUAUAUAACACACGCCUGGAAUUAGGCCUGCAAGGAUGAACUGGCCAGCACUUUCUCCACGGAGCUCCCGCAAAUGAGAACUGCAUUUCUGUGACUCUGACUCCUGAGGAGCAAGAACCAGGAGAGAGGAGCAGCAGGGAUACUGGGAUCAUAUCCGACUCAGAAGGGAAACAAAAACUCAGUUCUGUGAAACUGAAGCUUUGCAUCCUCUGAUGAAAAUCUCCCCAUCUCUUCCGAUGCCUCCUUGUCCCUGGUGACCAACACUGGACUCCCCUUCAAAGUCCUUGGAUUGAGAGUGCUGAGAUUCCUAAUUUCAUGACCUUUUUAGGGAAGCGGCAAAGGGUCAGUGGUAGAGCCAAGUUGAAAAGAGUGGGUCAUCCUGGUGAGCGCUGCCUCCCUUGGAGCCUGUACUGUGGGUGGUUGUGAGCCAUCAGAACUGCAGGUUUUAUCACCCGCGGUGGCUGUUCUACUGAUUACCUUCUUCUUCCUGUG
ensembl:lncRNA